rnacentral:rRNA from 1 species
AUACGUAGGGAGCGAGCGUUGUCCGGAAUUACUGGGCGUAAAGGGCGCGUAGGCGGCGCUUCAAGUCGUCUGUCAAAUGGAAGGGCUUAACCCUUUUUCGCAGACGAAACUGGAGAGCUUGAGAAGCAGAGAGGCAAACAGAAUUCCUGGUGUAGCGGGGAAAUGCGUAGAUAUCAGGAAGAAUACCAGUGGCGAAGGCGGUUUGCUGGCUGCAUACUGACGCUGAAGCGCGAAAGCCAGGGGAGCGAACGGGAUUAGAUACCCCGGUAGUCCUGGCAGUAAACGAUGUAUGCUGGGUGUGAGACUAGCGAUAGUUUCGUGCCGAAGUUAACGCGAUAAGCAUACCGCCUGGGGAGUACGGUCGCAAGAUUGAAACUCAAAUGAAUUGACGGGG